UACGUAGGGCGCAAGCGUUGUCCGGAAUUAUUGGGCGUAAAGAGCUCGUAGGCGGUUUGUCGCGUCUGUCGUGAAAGCUUGGGGCUUAACCCUGAGCCUGCUUCCGAUACGGGCAGACUAGAGGUAUGCAGGGGAGAACGGAAUUCCUGGUGUAGCGGUGAAAUGCGCAGAUAUCAGGAGGAACACCGGUGGCGAAGGCGGUUCUCUGGGCAUUACCUGACGCUGAGGAGCGAAAGUGUGGGGAGCGAACAGG
rnacentral:rRNA from 1 species